UACGUAGGGUGCGAGCGUUGUUCGGAAUUAUUGGGCGUAAAGAGCUCGUAGGCGGUGUGUCACGUCGGCCGUGAAAACCUGCAGCUUAACUGUGGGCGUGCGGUCGAUACGGGUAUCACUGGAGUUCGGCAGGGGAGACUGGAAUUCCUGGUGUAGCGGUGAAAUGCGCAGAUAUCAGGAGGAACACCGGUGGCGAAGGCGGGUCUCUGGGCCGAUACUGACGCUGAGGAGCGAAAGCGUGGGGGAGCAAACAGG
rnacentral:rRNA from 1 species